rnacentral:rRNA from 1 species
UACGUAGGGACCAAGCGUUGUUCGGAUUUACUGGGCGUAAAGGGCGCGUAGGCGGCGUGGUAAGUCAGCUGUGAAAUCUCCGAGCUUAACUCGGAACGGUCAGCUGAUACUGCUGUGCUAGAGUACAGAAAGGGCAAUCGGAAUUCUUGGUGUAGCGGUGAAAUGCGUAGAUAUCAAGAGGAACACCUGAGGCGAAGGCGGGUUGCUAGGCUGAUACUGACGCUGAGGCGCGAAAGCCAGGGGAGCAAACGGG